rnacentral:lncRNA from 1 species
AAUAGGUAUAUCACUAAAUAUCUUUUUAAGUAUUUUGGUUUAUUUAUUCUAGUUUUUAUGUGUUUGAGCUCCUAUGAAUUUUAUGACAAAAUGGAUUGAUGUAUUUUUCCUAUAUCUUGGUCAUAGCGAAGUUAGUGAUGGUUGAGUAGUUGCUUCAAUCUAGUAGACGAUUAUCCUUUUCUCCUAGCUUAUGGAGUGGGG